GCACAGGGUGUCAGAUGGUGAGCCACGGUUCAACGAGAGACCACAGGGAAAUUUAAAGAGGAAAGUUUAUGGCUCACAAGUCCUGGAAGAAGUUCACGGCGUACCCUGAGUGGCCACACAGGGAGGUCAAGGCAGAGUACAGACAGAGAGAGCAGCGGAAUCAGGGGGACGUGCCUUCAUUAGGGUCCAUGGGUGGAGUGCUUUGGAGGUCCUGGCCAGGGCUGGAAAGCCAUCCCAGUGACUUCAUCCAACCCCACGUGUGCACGAAAGAGUUGAUUCAGCAGGUCUGGGAUCUUCAAACCCUGCACAUUCCAAAGAAAGUUCUGGCCCUUGCCUGUCUCAUAGAAGACAACCUCUAAGCUCUUAGAAUAUCCUGCUGGGGAAGGCGUCUCCCAGACCAAAGAGGACUCACAACCAUAUGGUGCAGUGACUUCCCCUGGAUCAGUACACCAGGGCUUGGACUAGAGGAUUCACGUGCACUCCACUCCUCAGAUAAGCCCUUAAUCACAACCCCUCAGAAGAGGUGUACCUCAGAGAUGUUGCAAGUUCGGUUCCAGACAACCACAAUAGAGUGAAUAUUGCAAUAAAGUGAGUCACAUGAAUUUUUUGGUUUCCCA
rnacentral:lncRNA from 1 species